rnacentral:rRNA from 1 species
UCCCGACGCUCCAAGUCGCAGCCACAAUUAUUGGGUCUAAAACAUUCGUAGCUUGUUCUGUAAGUUCUUUGUGAAAUUCUAAGUCUUAAAUUUAGAGCGUGCAAGGAAUACUGCAGAACUUGAGACCGGAAGAAGUAAGAAGUAUGACGAAGGUAGCGGUAAAAUGUGUUAAUCUUUGUCAGACUAACAACAGCGAAGGCAUCUUACUAGUACGGAUCUGACAGUGAGGAAUGAAGGCUAGGGUCGCGAAACG